AUACUUACCUGUCAGGGAAGAUAUUAUGAUCACAAGGCGGUUUUCCCAGGGCAAGACCUAUCCUUUGCACUCCAGAUGUGCUGACCCCUGGGAUUUCCCCAAAUGAGGGAGACUUGACUGCAUAAUCUGUGUGGUGUGGGACUGCGCUUGUGCUGUCCCUUU